GCGGGUACAGUUUAAUGGUAAAAUGCCUCCUUGCCAAGGAGAAGACGCGGGUUCGAUUCCCGCUACCCGCC
rnacentral:tRNA from 1 species